rnacentral:rRNA from 1 species
AGCUCCAAUAGCAUAUACUACCAUUGUUGCGGUUAAAACGCUCGUAGUCGAAAUCUUUUUCCAAGACGAGAACUGCCUCGUCUUGGUACAAUGUUAACGCCCUGAGAAGAGGAGGCGAAUCUCGCGGUUCCGAUCUUGGGCGCUGACAAGUUACCGUGAAAAAAUUAUGGUGUUCAAGGCAAGCACAGGGUGCUCUGGAUACAUUAGCAUGGGAUAACACCGAAUCGCUUCGGACCAUGGGUGCGCUGAGAGCACAAGGGAUCGAAGUAACCUAAUAGGAGCAGUCGGGGGUAGUCGCAUUCCAUCGCUAGGGGUGAAAUUCUUUGACCGAUGGAAGACGAACAAUAGCGAAAGCAUCUACCAAGAAUGUUUUCA